rnacentral:rRNA from 1 species
AGGCAAACUGUCCUUCAGCAAUGGGAGCUUGCACUUAAUAUGGGAUACUCCUAAUCCAAAUGAGCACACUAUUAUAGCGAGGACCAUCUCAGGAUUAGAUGACUUCACACAAGUAAUCGGCCAGUACAGAGGAAUUGUUCCACAAAUUCGUUUGGUUCGCUGGUUAGUGUAUAGUCAAUUUUCUGUAGUACUCAAAUAAAACAUGCUAACAAUCAUUUUGUAUAGACUAAUGAGUUUAUUUUAAGGAGCGCCAGGCCAUCUUUCUCGUGUCAGCGAUCAUCUCCCUGUGCCUUCCCAUAGUGAUGCUUAGCCGCUGUCUAUCUAUAGUGUUCCAACCAGUGAUGAUAGCAGGAAGGAAGAGGAGGCAGAAAGGGAGAUGGGUAGGGAAAGAACAAAGGAUGCUAUGUAGUCUCUUUGAUGUGAUGCCACAAUUUUCUUUUUUCUUUUGCUAUUAAGUAGAGGUUGUGUGCUCUCUUUUGGAUCUAAUGCCAUCAUUUUUUUUGCUACCAACCCCGAUUUUAAGUUGGUCAGGUGCAAAGGAGGCUAACACAGUAUAUUGAACAAUAUGGUCUGGUAUUAUUGUUAGUUAUCACUUAUCAAUCGAUCCAGGAUUCAAUCUCAUUUUCAAAUUCAAGUGUUUCAUUUGAAGGAUGACGCAAAUCACACGCAAGGAACAUGUUAAUAUGCAUACUAUUGGUCUUCCUGAGUCAUUUGUGCAACAUAUAUAUUACGCCAUAGCAAUUGAAAGCUGACUGGUGUGCAGGUUGAAUUUUGUGUGUUCUAACUUCUAAGUUCUACAACAAUCAAGGGCUAUUGGUUCUGGAAAUUAUUCACAAACAUGCGGGCUCUGACCUACUUUUGUCCAAAUAUCUUUCUUUGUAGUGAAUUGUGCUGAUUCACAUUAAGGUGCAGCGAAACUACCUGAAAUCAUAUUAUUUUGUCUUCCCAUCGGCUACUUUUAAGAGGUCCUGAAGAGGAUGUUUCUGCACCCCUAUUAUGCUUACAGAAAAAGGCACCAGAAGGCUAUGGAUUUUCAAGAAUGGGCACUUUCGCUCAAUGGUCUUCCGAUGCAACACUGUAUGUGUCGUCAAAUUUUGGCUUUUGGCUGCUCGUGUAGUGUCUUCCUAAAUUAAUAGACCAGUCAGAUGCAUUGUGGCCAUUUUUGCUUUGGUUCAAUAAGUGAAGAAACCUAUAGGAACAUAUAUUCUGUGUUUUGUGAUCCACCUUGUAAGACUGCCGCCUCUCUAUUAAUAUAGACCUAUGACCUUACUUUGCUUGCUCUGCUUUAUGAGCGAAUGCUCUCCUGCUGCAGUUUCUAUAUAUUCUUUUUUUCAACAAUUGAUGUUUAUUUGGAUUGCAUACACGUUCACAAGUGCAUCAGCAGGAUUAGUGCGCAGAGUACCCCAGAAUGGACAGGUGUUCUCCUAAAGUACUCAUGCUCUUUGGUCAGGUGCUCUAGAGAUUUCUAAUAGUAGAUCUUAUGUGCAUGGUGAAUUCAACAAGAUUGUGUAAAUUUUCUGAAUGAUGCAAGUUUCACCAUCCAGUUGAUCGGUCUGCACCUGAUUCCAUUGCAAAGUGGGAGCUUUCUCAGCAACCUGUGAUGCUUACUCUUGCUGGCCUUCCAAGCAGAAAGAGUUAUUCGUUAGACGGUGUCAUCGAUUAUAACUUCACAUCGUCAAUGUUCAUCUUGUUUUUCAAGCACACAUGGAAGUUGCUGCAAGACACAUCACUGGGGCGGAUGCGAAGGCCGUCAAGGGCAGAGCAGAGCGAGACCGGGCGCGGCGGCCGGGUGCGGUCUGCAUAAUUGGUGGCCGGUGGUGGUGCGCGACCUGCGCGAGUUAGAGGCGAGGUGACGGCGUUGACCAGGACGCGUCGCAGAUCCUCAUCGUGCUUCCGCGAGAGGAGCUCGUCGAGGGUCCCCUCUUCCCCACGGAUCAGCGACGGAGGUGCUUGUGCCUUUCAUAUUCCAUUCCAAUGCUAGAAACAUAUAUCUUUUCAUCUGAUGGAGUUUUGUUCUAAUGUAAUUCCAUGGUCAUAUAUGGAGGACUGGAUUUGAAAGGAAAAAAUUGCAAGGAGUUUUUUUUAGGAUGUUCCUGAGGCAUUAAAGAACUGGCAGUCUCAUCGUAUGAAGGUUGUCAAAAGUCGUAAAUCAGUUCUCCCCUGCAUCCGCGAAGUGGCAGAAGAGGAUUGCGAUGGCUGUGCCCCGCGCCGCCUCCAUCCCUGCACCAUCUUCGUCACAUGCAGCGGCCGACUUAUCUCCGCACAACGUGAGUGGCUCAUUAAGGAGAUUGAAGCUGAGGAUGACGAGGCACAGAAGCAGCACGAUGGCGAUGCAAAAAAGUCACGUCGGUGGCUGGGUCAUCGACCUUGAUUCGAACGGAAUUAGUGAACUUUUUUAUUUGGUUUUUAUAAUGCUCGGUGUCUCACUUUUUGCGUCCACUUUGGUAAAUUGUGUUGAAUGACAACGCUUGACGGAUGUUCGUGAACGUGUUGGUGGUAUCUGUUUGGUGAUCCACAUUGGAGAUGCCCUAAUAUCCCUUGUAUACGAGUAAUUUAUUUAGCUUUUUUGAAAUUUAUGGUGCAACUUCUUAUUAACAUGCC